rnacentral:tRNA from 1 species
CAGAGUAUAGUUUAUUUAAAAUUUUAAUUUUGGAGAUUAAGGAUGGAUAUUUAUAUCUUUCUCUGA